GAAAUGCGAUAAUUAAUGUGAAUUGCAGAAUUCAGUGAAUCAUCGAGUCUUUGAACGCACAUUGCGCCCCCUGGUAUUCCGGGGGGCAUGCCUGUCCGAGCGUCAUUGCUGCCCUCAAGCACGGCUUGUGUGUUGGGCUUCCGUCCCUGGCAACGGGGACGGGCCCAAAAGGCAGUGGCGGCACCAUGUCUGGUCCUCGAGCGUAUGGGGCUUUGUCACCCGCUCCCGUAGGUCCAGCUGGCAGCUAGCCUCGCAACCAAACUUUUUAACCAGGUUGACCUCGGAUCAGGUAGGGAUACCCGCUGAACUUAAGC
rnacentral:misc_RNA from 1 species